rnacentral:tRNA from 1 species
GUUCCUGUAGUUGAAGGCAUCAACAGUGGCUUUUCAAGCCACAGGUCUUGGAUAGAUUCCAAGUAGGAAU